CAGCAUAGUACGGAGUUGGAGAGGAAUGGAUUUGUUGAUUGACCUUGUUCUUGUUCUCUUCAAUAUGGGGAUGAGCAGUUUCCCAAUCAAAACCGACAACCCAGCCUGAAAGUACAUGGUUUUUUGCUCGCUUUCAUCUUUCGUUCAGUUCUCUUUUUCGGCUUCUUUUUUCUUUUUUCUUUCUUUUUUUUUGCGAAAAAAACUUUCAUUUUUUAUACCAGUAACUCCUGCACCCAGGCUGUGGCGAAUUCCUGUUUUUCGGUGCAAAUCUGCAGGCUGAUCGUUCAAACCAACGCGUCCAUUCCCACGCCACUUUCAAGAUUCUGAGACAAGAGACGGGGAGUCCUUCUUGGCUGCCGCUGCCCUGCGGCUGCAACGCCAGGCAAGCAUCACCUAGUCACGUAAUUUCUCAAAAAACAAUCCUGGAAAGACAUCUGCAAGCUGCCAGCCAUCAUCAAUUAUACGCUGUAAUAAUGUGCCAGUGAGGUGUCAAAAUGCUUACGGCUCGCUCCACUACUCCUAUUCGAAGUAUACUAGUCCUGCGCAACAGAAGCUUGUUUUUCUUUUCUUUUCCUUUGCUCUUACAUAGUGCAUUUGCUAACUAACUACAGGAGGCGUGUUAAAACUUCCAACUACCAUGAUGAGAAGGGGAAGAAAAAAAAUUUUUGUACAACUGGCUGGACCCAAUUUAUGUCCUGAUUAAAUUUUCAGUGGCCAGCUGCAGAGCGGGGUGGGUUAUUCGUCCAGUCAUUGUGCUAAAGAUAAUUAUCCACCCAUUUUUGACCAUUUAUUGCUCUCAAGCCUUGUGUUUUGUGUUUUGUGUGAAUUUUUUUUUAAGCUUUCCACGGAAGAGUCGCCCCUUUUUUUUGACUCCCGGAGACCUGAAAACCGUAUGGAAAAAGAUCCAUGGAUUUGCUGUGGAAUCUUACGGAUAAAAUAUCGCUUAGAACGCUCUUUUCUUUGCUUUCUCAUUGGUUCUUCCCAUCUCUUGGAGGGAAAAGAAAAAUAACACACAUAAAUAAACAAUCCAAUAUUCUACCCAUCUACGUACCUACUAAGGUUAUCGAUUUGAAUGCGAACUGAUGUGUACGCUUUGUACAGGAUCCAGCGCGCGUGUGUAUACUUGCAUCUUCUUAUCAGAUUGUUCCCCAUACAAGUUACAACGUGAAUACCCAAUGUCAAAGAUAGUAUCCAAAUUGGUGUACCUAUAUAUCUUAUGAUGCUUGGGUAGAUUCUUGAGAAGAAAUGCUAACUACUAAUAUCCUGUCAAAGUCAUCGAUGGAUAUUAUUAUUCUUCUUCCUCUUUUCCUUUCCUGCUAAUUAAUUUGCCAGAGUUCCCAGCCCAGCCCCGGUUUAUGGAUAUGCGCCCAAAGAUGGAUUUCUGGGGCAACUUACUUAUGCGAGCAUUUCUUCCCGCAGGCACCAGCAG
rnacentral:sRNA from 2 species